GUGGGCCCGGCGGUCGCAAAGACAGCGAUUAAAAAUGGCUGGAGGCAGCGAACGCCGAUCGCGUCGAGCACGCUCAUCCUUUGGUCGGCGCUCCUCGCGUUCCGGGUCUGAGGGCCUCUGCAGCCCUAGCGGCGCAGCUGCCCGUCUCACCCGCCCCACGCGCCCUUUGAGCGCCCAAGCCGUGAGCAUCUUUCUUGUCAGUAGCCCUUGGCUGAAAUAUGAGCAGGCAGCCAGGUGCUGAAUGUUGGAGCUGGAUUCUGAAGUUCCCUGUUUCUCCUACUCGCUUUAAAAGAGAUGGGCCCAGUCGCAGUACCUGCAUAGGCUGCCAUGUUCGUGCCUGAUCCGUAUCUGAUUUUCUGGUGAAGGUGGACUGAAGUAACCCACGGGUUGCCUCUGGCGUAAUAAUUCAGCUUGUAGCUACAGCAAGCCUGGUCCCUGCAACAUCAUAAAAAUGUUGCCAACGUUGCUUUGACAGUGCUACUUACUGCUCGGAAGAAUGCCCAUGAGCACAAUCUAGAGGACACCUGUAGUAUCAAAGAAGUCUCUGAGGAAAGAACCAGAGAGACUCUCGAUGCCUGCUUGAGCUGAAACACAAAAUACAUGCGCAUUUGGGCAGUGUCACGCUUUGGAAGAGACCCCAAAGUAAAAGUAAAGAAUGACCAGGCAAUACUCUCUGAAAAUUGGAGACCAUUUGCAGCUGCUCUCUGUUGAAGAAAGUGAAUAAUAGGGUGCCCUCAAGGAGUUUCAAAGGUAUCACUCAACAGAAACUUUUGUGUCUGAAGAAAACUAGAUCAUUUUAUCACGGCCAGAAAUAUCAACAACUUACUGUGGGUAAAUUGCCAUCUGUGGACCCACAUCCAUAAGAAGCAUUUCGGCUCCUCUCCUUGAGAUUACGGCUCUCUCCUCGACAACAUUGCUCAUAAUGGACGGUUCAAGCCAAAUUAUCCAUUAUUGUUCCCAAAGUUUACAAUUAAACUAUCGAUCAAACGUGGCAGUGAUUCCUCCAGCAGCCCGAGAGCAGAUGCCGCUGAAUUGCAUCAGAACCUGAGUGUAAGAAGCCAGAAGGAAGUGCCGCAGACAGACAGACACACCCUCCACCCAUCACCCUGGGAUCAAGCCUUUGGUAUUUUUCCUAGAGCCAAGAGACAGACUGCCACCAUGGUGACGUAGUGUGCGUGGUGUGGUUUUAAUAGCCAGAGGUCCCUGCGAUUUGUGACCCCUAUCCCUGGCUGUAAAAAUUGGAGUUUAACAGGUUCGGCUCCAUGGGGAACCAACCUCAGCUUUUAGGCUCCUUCAGACACUGCAGAAUGCAUCUUUUCUGGGGAAUUCCACAAUAA